AUUGAACGCUGGCGGAAUGCUUUACACAUGCAAGUCGAACGGCAGCAACGGGGCAACCUGGUGGCGAGUGGCGAACGGGUGAGUAAUACAUCGGAACGUGCCCAAUCGUGGGGGAUAACGUAGCGGAAAGUUACCGCUAAUACCGCAUACCGAUCUACGGAUGAAAGCGGGGGAUCGCAAGACCUCGCGCGAAUGGAGCGGCCGAUGUCAGAUUAGCUAGUUGGUGAGGUAAAGGCUCACCAAGGCGACGAUCUGUAGCGGGUCUGAGAGGAUGAUCCGCCACACUGGAACUGAGACACGGUCCCAGACUCCUACGGGAGGCAGCAGUGGGGAAUUUUGGACAAUGGGCGCAAGCCUGAUCCAGCCAUUCCGCGUGCAGGAUGAAGGCCU
rnacentral:rRNA from 1 species